GACGAACGCUGGCGGCGUGCCUAAUACAUGCAAGUCGUACGAAUUGAUUGAAGAGCUUGCUCUUCAUGACGUUAGUGGCGAACGGGUGAGUAACACGUGGGUAACCUGCCCUUCAGCGGGGGAUAACAUCCGGAAACGGGUGCUAAUACCGCAUAGUUUCUUUUCCGCCUGGAAGAAGAAGGAAAGAUGGCCUUUGCGUUAUCACUGAGGGAUGGACCCGCGGCGUAUUAGCUAGUUGGUGGGGUAAUGGCUCACCAAGGCGACGAUGCGUAGCCGACCUGAGAGGGUGAACGGCCACACUGGGACUGAGAUACGGCCCAG
rnacentral:rRNA from 1 species